rnacentral:lncRNA from 1 species
AUGGCUGGUGACAGGGAACAGAGCUCCAGUCCUUGACUGAAAGACGCGGUGUGACUGCAGGGACGCCGCUCCGGCUCGUGACCGACCGGACGAACACCGCUCCUGGGCAGGCAGUCAGGAUGCCCUUGCGUGGGUUGACGUGGGGACACUGGGUGCUACCAUCCCCCUCCUCGUCUCCCGGCCCGGGACUUGGCGGGAGCGGUGCUGGAAUGUGCCGGGAUCCGGUGAUUUUUUUAGAUAGAAUGCCAAAGGCAUCAUCCAUGAAGGAAAGAACGGGUGGAGCAGCCUUCAUUAGACUCAAAUGUUCAACUGGACGUGUGGCUCAUACCUGUAGAUGCCAUACUCAGGAUGCUGAGAAUUCCAG